UACGGGGGGGGCAAGCGUUGUUCGGAAUUACUGGGCGUAAAGGGCUCGUAGGUGGCCAACUAAGUCAGACGUGAAAUCCCCAGGCUCAACUUGGGAACUGCGUCUGAUACUGGAUGGCUUGAAUCCGGGAGAGGGAUGCAGAAUUCCAGGUGUAGCGGUGAAAUGCGCAGAUAUCAGGAGGAACACCGAUGGCGAAGGCAGCUCGCUGGGACGGUACUGACGCUGAGGCGCGAAAGCGUGGGGAGCAAACAGG
rnacentral:rRNA from 1 species